rnacentral:rRNA from 1 species
GUGAGUAGUUCAGAGUUUGAUCCUGGCUCAGGAUGAACGCUAGCUACAGGCUUAACACAUGCAAGUCGCGGGGUCUGUUUCGGCAGACGACCGGCGCACGGGUGAGUAACGCGUAUCCAACCUGCCCCUCUCUUUGGCAUAGCCUUUCGAAAGAGAGAUUAAUUCCGAAUAACAUAGUUUAGUUGCAUGAUUCGACUAUGAAAGCUCCGGCGGAGAGGGAUGGGGAUGCGUUCCAUUAGGUAGUAGGCGGGGUAACGGCCCACCUAGCCAACGAUGGAUAGGGGUUCUGAGAGGAAGGUCCCCCACAUUGGAACUGAGACACGGUCCAA